GAGCUGUAAGCAGAGUCCAGUGCAGGACUCGAGCUCACGAACCCGUGAGAUCGUGACCUGAGCCGAAGUUGGAUGCUUAACUGACUGAGCCACCCAGGGCCCCCUGGAUUUUUAUUUUUUGAUGGUGCCCUUGGAGAAGUGAAGAUUGACCAAGACCUCAGGAAUUUAAAAAACUGAGGCAAACAAGUUUUAGUUUUAGUGAGAAUCACUUGGCAGAGAUUGCUGCUUCUCUUUGGACCCUCUGAGAAUAAAAGAAGACAACAGCAACCUUACAGAUUACGUGCACCUGGAGUUUCGUGUCUCCCUGCUUGUUGCCAAGACUCCUUCACUCCCAUAGAUUCAAGCCAACAGAUGAUCCUUCUACUCAAGAAGGGCAGAGCUAGCAGCAGAAGCACUAUCAGUAACGUCACUAACAGCCUGAUCUAGAGGUACACUGUGACCCUGACUUCAAAGACCAGUUGCUUUUUAGGGAGAGAAAACAACUCCUGGGAAAAUGAAACUCUUUCAAGUUCUCCAACAGGCUUCUGUUGAUCUAGCUACCACUGACUUCAGAUGAACCAGAUUUCCCUGCUUGUUUGUCUAAAUUCUCUAUCACAUGGUGACUAAAGCAUAUCUUCUGACAUUUCACAUCGAUCAUUAGAAACACCUUUAGGCAAUGGAUGACAUCAGAAUAAUUUGCAUUAGAAACCCUAUUAUUCACUGAGAUUAAUUAACAGUGUGGUAUUUACGGAAUUAGCGUUACAACUCCUCUUGUUGCUAGCUGUGGUUUGUGUCCCCUGCAGGGAUGACACUGAAUGAAAUCUUGCAAGUCAUUUCAAAAUAAAAUAACUCACUAUGAGAAGUAAAAUGUGCAUUGAGCCAGUCCCAGAAAAUACUUUAAAAAAUUUCUUGCAAAGCUCCCUUGUUUGCAUGUGUUAGAUUUUGGUUAGCUUUGCUCUAAUUAUAAGUUUAUUACUAACCUGAAAGUGUGAGAAUCUUAGCAACUAGCUUUGAAUACAAAAACGUUUUCUCCCAAACUCUCAAUGGCUUUGUUAAAGGAUUUGUUCUUUGAACUUCUUGGAACAGUAGCUGAUAUUUCAGCCUGGUAAUGUGUCCAUUUGCCUCAGUCAGUCCUGGUUUCUGACUCUUGUCUCAAUAUAAUUAUUAAUACUACCCCUUUUUUCUCCCCCAAAUUGUCUCUGGUUGAGUGAUAAAUUAUAUAGUCCCUCUGACUAUUGUGAACUUGAAGUUAAAGCAUUUCUCUCUUUUUUUAAUACAUGUUCUUAGAUGAGCUUAGUAAGACUUGAAUGUAAUAAUAACAGGUUUAAUACUUGAAGUAUAUGAAAUUUGAGAGUGGAUAAGGCCACUUCUUCCCUCUAAUCUGGCAAAUCAGAGUUCAGGUAUAUUGCCAAUUUAGACUUUAGGCAUACACAGACUUGACGUUUGUAAUGUUGGGCCAUACACGGAUGGUCCAGAAAGAAUUCUUGAAACAUUUUUGGGUGCGAACAGUUGCUUUUAUUACAGUAUGGGGACACGGUCCAUGGAAGAAAGAGCUGCAUGUUUGCUGUAUCAUCUGGUGGUUAUAUGCUUAGUGUUCAGAGAGGAGGGGACUUGAAGGAGUUGUAUCGGAUCAUAAAUAUCUUCUUCAAAUUUCUACUCAAAAAACUAUUUUUGCAAGAUUUUUCUGGUGCUUAUCAUUUAGCUUGAUAUUAAAUAUUGGUGAGUUGUACAGGCAGUCCUGAGACCCUUUAAGAAUGUAGCAGGCAGCAUGUAUUUGAUCCUUAUUGGAUCUUUGCAGGCUAUAGGUCAGCUUUCAGGGCUAAAGGUGGACAUGUUUUUGCUUCUAUCUCUCUUCAUUUUGAAGAUUCAUGGCAUACUGGAAUUUAUAAGUUUGGUGAGACACACAUUAGAAUCGUGCAAUUAGCCCAUUGCAGGAAAACCAGGUUUUGGUGGAACUUUAUUACAUAACUCCUAAAGUCUUCAAAACUUUGGUGUCUGCUGAAAGAAGCUCAUGUCUAGAUGCUCACUCAGCCCCCACGUUGUUUGAAUAAACUUGGGAAUUUGAGAACUGAGUCACAUGUUAGAUUCUCAAUAAAUAUUUAUUCAGUUGAA